rnacentral:rRNA from 1 species
CCUACGGGAGGCAGCAGUGAGGAAUAUUGGUCAAUGGCCGUAAGGCUGAACCAGCCAAGUCGCGUGAAGGAAGAAGGAUCUAUGGUUUGUAACCUUCUUUUAUAGGGGAAUAAAGGUAUCCACGUGUGGAUGUUUGCAUGUACCCUAUGAAUAAGCAUCGGCUAACUCCGUGCCAGCAGCCGCGGUAAUACGGAGGAUGCGAGCGUUAUCCGGAUUUAUUGGGUUUAAAGGGUGCGUAGGUUGUUUUUUAAGUCAGCGGUGAAAGUUUGUGGCUCAACCAUAAAAUUGCCGUUGAAACUGGAAGACUUGAGUGUGUUUGAGGUAGGCGGAAUGCGUGGUGUAGCGGUGAAAUGCAUAGAUAUCACGCAGAACUCCGAUUGCGAAGGCAGCUUACUAAGCCAUAACUGACACUGAAGCACGAAAGCGUGGGGAUCAAACAGGAUUAGAUACCCCAGUAGUC